rnacentral:rRNA from 1 species
CGGUCCCUAUCUGCCGUGGGUGUAGGAUACUUGAGAGGAGUUGCCCCUAGUACGAGAGGACCGGGGUGAACGAUCCACUGGUGGACCAGUUGUCGACUACGGCAGUGCUGGGUAGCUAUGAUCGGACAGGAUAACCGCUGAAAGCAUCUAAGCGGGAAGCCCCCCUCAAAACAAGGUAUCCCUGAGGACCGAGGUAGACCACCUCGUCGAUAGGCCAGAGGUGUAAGCGUGGUAACACGUUCAGCUGACUGGUACUAAUGGUCCGAUAGGCUUGAUUUGAUCUAG